CCUACGGGUGGCAGCAGUGGGGAAUAUUGCACGAUGGAGGGAACUCUGAUGCAGCGACGCCGCGUGAGUGAAGAAGUAAUUCGUUAUGUAAAGCUCUAUCAGCAGGGAAGAAAGUGACGGUACCUGAAAAAGAAGCUCCGUCUAAAUACGUGCCAGCAGCCGCGGUAAUACGUCGGGAGCAAGCGUUAUCCGGAUUUACUGGGUGUAAAGGGAGAGUAGGUGGCAGAGCAAGUCCGAAGUGAAAACACAAGGCUGAACGAUGGGAAUGCUUUAGAAACUGGUAAGCUAGAGUGCAGGAGAGGCAGGUGGAAUGCUUAGUGUAGCGGUGAAAUGCGUAGAUAUUAGGAAGAACACCAGUGGCGAAGGCGGCUUGCUAGACUGUAACUGACACUGAGGCUCGAAAGCGUGGGGAGCAAACAGGAUUAGAUACCCGGGUAGUC
rnacentral:rRNA from 1 species